AGCAGCGCAUGCGCAGCUCGUGAACAGCUCUGUGAACUGUUUCAUCCUGUCAAAAAAAAUGGUCACUGAACGAAUCAGUGAAUGAAUCAUUUUGGUGAACGAACUGAAAAUCAA